UAAUGGCAAACCGUCCAUCAGUCAAAGACUUGCGCUUGCAAGAUAAUAACAAUCUGUUUAAAUUUUGUUUUGUGUGAUUGGUUGCCAUUCCACAGGCUCAACUUGCCAUUUUGACGAUCGCUUGACUUUAAUUUUUCAAUAUAUUGUGGACUUUAUUGAUUUAUGCCGUUGUGAACGUGAUUUUUAUCACGUGAAAGGAAUUUUAUUUGUUCAAAAGGUACUACGUUUCGGACGUUUUGACAUAAAGAUUUUCGUCUCCACGUGAUCUCAUCGCGCACAAGAUAAUCAUGUGCAAAUGGAAACUGCAAAGUAAGACACCUUAUUAGUAUUCUGUAUGCCUUGCGAUGACGCAAACACCACUACAUGCCGCGGGCAAGUAGAUUUAUGUAACUCUACUUUUUGAGUCAUAUACCUAGCAUCUACGUUUAAUAAAUGUGACGUUAUUAAAACAGAAUUUAUAUCGUGCUAAUCAAGUGCAAGAUUACUUAAUUACUUCAGCGUCUACUCUAUCAUCUAUCAUGUAAAUCAAGCAAAGGCUAUCAUCACUAUAUAAACGUAUAAGCAAAGAGAAGAGUAUAGCAAAUUGCGAUGUGGUACUAGUUUUAAGAAAAGCAAACAGCUAACUAUUUAGAUUUAGAUGACUUUUAAAUACAUUAAGAAAAAUAUACAAGAGAAAGAGAAUAAAUUUUACUGAUAACUUGAUAUUUUUCAGAUUUACUAAAAGCGCCCUUUCUUUGCAAUCAAAUCCUCUUGUUAGCGGCAGAAGAUUUAUGAUUCUUACUCACAAUAGUCAAGUGACGUAUUAUCCGGGAAAGUGCUGGUUUGCCAUCCCUAAUUCACCGGAGUGACUGGACUGUACUGCUGUUCGAAUGGUGAUGCUAUUUUGAGCUACGGCUCGGUUUUAGUAGGCCAGUGGGAAACGGAAGCGGAGGGAAAAUGGAACGAGACAAGUCUUGCGACUCAUCGGAGCUAAAAGCGGCUUUUCAAUCUGAUGAAAAGCAACGUCCAUCUUCAGAAGAGACAAAAGAUUCACCUGUUGAGAAUAAUUGUCCAUCGUCGCGGCAACAAAAACAAGAAAAUACAUCUGGAUUUAACUGUAAUCGAUUGCCGUUCGUAUUUUCCUUGGACAGCCUUGUAAAUUUGAUCAACGUGGAAAAGCAAACCUGAAAAUACAUAAAAUCCACAGUA
rnacentral:lncRNA from 1 species